rnacentral:lncRNA from 1 species
GGCUGGUCCACUGUCCCAGUAUUGUAUUUGUGUGGCCAACUUUUCUUCUGUCUCAUUCACACUCCCUGCCCCUGCCUACCCCAGCAACAACACCCAUCGCCCCAGAAGAAGAAGAAAAAGAAAAGAAGAGCUCACAGCACAGCAUCUGUGAAUUAAAUCAAGCUACAAAAGUAUCCAGGCAACUGAGUCCAGCGUGCCGCCAGAGAUCCAGGGCUAUCAUUUUGUCUCUUGCCUCAUUUUUAUCCCCUCUUCAAGAAGCUCUUCCAAAGACUCAAAAGCCAUGUCAUCCACCUGUUGGCCCUACAACUUGCCUGCGUCGACGCUGUGUCCCCGCAGACAUCACCUGGAGGGUGGGAAUUCUGUUCCUGAGGGAAGGCACGUCAGGAGAGAAUGCGUGGUUACCUGCUCAAGCUCCCAUGUGGAACAUCCUCUGGGUACCCAGUCUGGCUCAGCAGCUGCCACCUCUCCUCCACAGAUUGGGAAGUAUCCCCAGUGGGCUCCACUGCAUGUCCUAUCUGCCUAUUCUUUUUACACACCACAAGAUCCUCCCAGAGAAAGGUAUGGGCACUGUGCCAUCACAGACUGUGUGCCCAGGAAGCCAUCUCCCUGCUUCCUCACACGGUGGAGUUCCCCAUGGGUGGUCUGUGAGGCUGCUCAGAACCCAGCUCCCACUCCCAGCAGCAUGUCCACCCUGAGCCUUUCCCUGACGUCACCACAGCCUCUAAGCUUGCUGCCCAGGGCCUCUACCACAAUGGCCACUCCAUGUUUCCCUAGUGUUGAUCUUCUUUGUUGCCUCGUCUCUGUCCCUGGUCCUGUGUCCUUUCCUAAAUCCUUCUGCUGUCUGUUGUCAAGAGUCACCAUAGUUUCUUGGCAUCCUGAACAAGGAAUUGAACAAGACACCCAGAAACUGAAGUGA